GAAGGAGUCCUGACUAAGAAGCAGUAACAAGCAGAAGAACAAGUCUGUGCUGUGAAGAACUGCCCCCAAGAAAUAUUGCUGAGAAGUGCCAGAAUUCAAUGCCCCUCAGCAGCUUGCCUGUAUUACCUGUAAGAUGGAAGUGCAAGUGGAGAUUAUGCAUCCCCAACCCCUUUGCAUACACACAGACACAGGAAAAAAAGCUGGAAAAAGGCUAAAGAAUUAACUGAUAAGUUCUGACAUGGCAUUUGGAGCUCUGCUGGAUAUUCCUGAGGUCCUGUCCUUAUGGAGAGAGGACUUUGCUGUGCCAGAUAAAUAGGAAGAAACGCACUUGCAGUGUGACUGGAUCAGCGUCCCUCAGCAGUAAAGACUUUCCCUACACUGUCACCAAACCCAGUUAGCUUAAAAGACAGGAAAACCCAAACCACUCACAACUUCCUCCCUGAUCAGUGCAAAUCAGCCAUGAACUGGAAUCUCUGGAAGUCACUUAACAGCCUGUAACUUGUAUGAGAAACUCUCUAUUUUAAGAGAAUUUCUGCAUCUGUUUCCCCAGCAGACCCUGCCAAAAGAAGACACUGGCAGGAUUUCGGCAUCUUGCCUUCUGCUUGAAACUUCUGUGAGAGCACAGCCCCAUUCAACAGUUUGGACUGGAUUAAUUUUUAAAGAGUGCUUGGAGGCUACUUGAGGACAAGCAAACACUGCAUGUGGCUGUUGCAUGAGUGAGCAGUCAAAGGGGAGAGCACAACCACAACCUGGCCUCUCAGGGACUCUGCACUGCUUCUGAGGAUAAGGCAGCAG